CUUUAACCUUUUUUAAAUGAUAUUUUUGGGGGAGAAUUUUUCCACAAUAUUAUUAUAAAUUUACAUAAAAAAUAAACUGAACAGUAAAGGUUAUGGUCAGUGUUAGAGGGCUAUAAGAGUAAUAAUAGCAAUUGUCUUCAUGGGACAGAGCAUUCUUGGUGCAGUGCACCUGCUUCCUCACAUCUAUCAUGACAGACUAUAGCUCAACUUUGUUGCUGCCCUUCCAAGCUGUCCUUCAGUCGCAGGGGAAAAAUCUAGAGAAGAAUUUCAUGGGGUUAUCUUUGUCCACCAGGCCAGAGGAGAUGGAACAAUGGCAUGAUGACAUGAUGAGACUGAGCUGUAAACCUGUUUGGGCAGAACAGUGCUGAGUGAUAAUUAUUAUUAGAUUUCACUGAAGACACCUACGAUUCUUCAUUUAACUCAGCAGCGAGUUUAGAUACUCCUCUCCCCCCACUUUGCUGAAAUUUUGCUUUAAGAUUAGGAAUCUUAACCAGGUUAAAUAGAACAAAUAUUUUCCCAAAACAAACUUUCAGACAAAUUAGCCUUAAUCUUGGUAUUUAAUCCUAUUCGUCUGCCAUUCAUCUAUUUGGGGGGGAAAAAACACCUUCAUAGAUGACUUAUACUAAAAAAGAAAAAGUGAAGUUAAGAUUUUUUUUUUUUUUUGGCACAUUUUUGCUGCUGUUAACAUUUUGUUAUUCAAACAAUUCACUUUUUUUAAUAGAAAACAGCAAAAUAUAUUACUGAAACAAAAGGGAUGAAAAGUACAUUACAUAUUCAAGUGUUAUCAACUUAAGUUGGAAUGAAAAACAUAAACAAAAUCCUAUCUUUCUAUCUUGACAAAAUGAUAAAUUUUAAAAGAACUAUAAAAAAAUAUAUAUAAAGCAGUGAUAAAUCUAUAACAACCAAAAAGAAUCAUUGGAACAAAGUCACCUCUUUUGAUUGAAAUGAACUCCUGAUGUCAACCCUGGCCCUGAACCCCACCUCUUGCCCUCCCCUUUCAUUCUACCAUGUAUUGUCCUCGCCUUGUUAGUCACAAGGUUACAGCAACAAAUAGCAGCAGUUCAUCCUGCCCAAUUAGGACAACGCUUUUAUAAUGUGCAAUCUUUCUCCAAAUAUUUAUGCCAUAUUUGGUGGAUCAACUGACUUUAUUUAAGGAGACACGGCAUCUGUCAGGCCUAGCAUUUUCUGGGAUUACAGGUUGGGAGCAAAAGCAGUAUUGACUGAUCCCGAUCUUCUCUUGAAGCUUAACCUGACCUAGGUUAAAACAUGGGUGAUGCUGCCAUGGCAGAGUUUGGGGCUGCUGCUCCUUAUCUAAGGAAAUCUGAUAAGGAGCGUCUGGAGGCCCAGACUCGUCCCUUUGAUAUGAAGAGAGAGUGUUUU